AACCUUCGACAAUGGACGGAAGUCAGACGGAGCAACGCCGCGUGAGCGAAGAAGGAUUCCGGAUCGUAAAGCUCUGGUGUUAGGGAAGAACACGUACGGGAGUCACUGCCCGUACCUUGACGGUACCUUAUCAGAAAGCCACGGCUAACUACUUGCCAGCAGCCGCGGUAAUACGUAGGUGGCAAGCGUUGUCCGGAAUUAUUGGGCGUAAAGCGCGCGCAGGCGGUCCUUUAAGUCUGAUGUGAAAGCCCACGGCUCAACCGUGGAGGGUCAUUGGAAACUGGAGGACUUGAGUACAGAAGAGGAAAGCGGAAUUCCACGUGUAGCGGUGAAAUGCGUAGAGAUGUGGAGGAACACCAGUGGCGAAGGCGGCUUUCUGGUCUGUAACUGACGCUGAGGCGCGAAAGCGUGGGGAGCAAACA
rnacentral:rRNA from 1 species